GGAUAUCUGUGAGCCGAGGCGGGACGUGAGGGCCCUCAGUGGGCAGGCGAGCACUGCGCUCCCCCAGGAAGGGCCUCUAUGCACUGGUGGCCUCCACGCCACGAGCAGGCAGGACCUCUGAGGUCCCCAUGCAAAACAGGAGCACCCAGUGCCCCCAGGUGCCGUCCCUUGCCUGAUGGUCAGACAGAUGCUCAUUGUACACAGUGCUGGGAGUCACAGCCGGGUGGGGUGGAGCCUGGACAGAUGCUGGCCUGCCACACCACAGCCCACCCUGCCUCCCGGGAUAGGAAGGUCUGGGGUACAGGCUUGGGGACCUCCUCCAGCUCCCCUCAUGCUAAACCAUGAAGGAAAUGGAGUGUGGACACCCUUGGGCUCUAGUCUCCAACCUGGGGAACUCAGGUCAACCACACCCCUCGGAGCCCAGCCAGGCUGAUAGGGUGACAAGCGCAACCACAGGAGGGCCACACCACAGCCUGGCUCACAGCAGCAAGGCCAGGCCGCAGUCACACAGGGCCCACUGGCACUCGGGGCUGCGGACCUGGCCCACUCUGCUCAGCCCACCACACCAACCCCCAGGCCCACUGGGACCAAGGGGAGCGCCCACACCUCCACGAGCUUCCUCCCUCUUCUGGACAGGACGAGCCCAGCAGACCCGCCCAGGGUGGGCAGAGGGUUUGGUGAGGCAGUGUCUAGUGAAGCUCCAUGUGACAGCUGACCAGGUCCCCAUGGAGGUCACAUCAGGGACUACAGUGGGACACUACGUUCUUCUGGACAGUAGGUGCAGGCACCCCUCCUCCUGGGGACUCUGGCCUCGAGGGUAAAACGGGCUGGAACUGUGGGUGACGUUGGCAAAUGGCCUAAGCUCUGACCUCUGCCUCCUCUGUUGUACCUGAGGGGCGAUGACAGCCUCCUCAGGGGCCAGCGUGGUCGUCCUCAGAACUCGGCCUUCACGGGACUCCUGCCUUCCCGCCAGGAGGGCGAGGGGCUGGUGGGAGGUGGCCUGCCAGGCAGACCGGGAGCCACUCUGGGGCUUCCCUGCUCUAGGCCUUGGAGUUCCCCGGCCUGUUCCUGCUGGUGCCAUUCUGGCCUCGGCCUGAGCAGCAGGUCCAACCCCUCCCUCAGCUGGUGGGUGGGAGUUUCUGGGUUGGGACUUUUGGGGGUCACUGUCCCUCCCAGCUCACCGGGUUUCUGGAAACUGGAGCUGAGAGAUCCCAGGUAGGGGGAGGUAUGGGGAGGAAAGGGCACCCCGAUUCCCUGCCCUGCGCCCUCCCAUCCCCAGGCCCCACAGGUCUCUCAGAGCCCUGGGGUCCCACACCUACCGUUCUUAAAGGCCAGGAACUCAAAGACACUGUGGACGAUGGACACAAUGAUGGUGAGCGCCAGCAGGUAGGGGUUGGUCUCCAGGAGGGCAACCUGGGGGAAGGGCCAUGAGCACUGCCCGCUCCUGCUCAGAGCUGCCCUCCUGCCCCAGGGCACCCAGACAGGCCCUGCUGACAAUCCCCAGGCCCGCCUCUGGGGCCUUCCAGAGAGGAAGAGCCAGCACCAGCCAGGAGGACAGCUGGUCAGAGAAGGACACACGGGGACGAAGACAUGAUACAGAAGGGAGAAGACACAGGGAGAGGCAGAGACAGGGAGAGAGGUGGGGCAAGGGACAUGGAGGGACAGCGAGGAACAGAAACCCAACAGCAACCACAGCCCCAGGCACACAGAGCCUAGUUUCAAUGUCACGCAGCCAGGUUGACAGAUGGCCAUGGGAAGGCACUUAGGGCAGUGAUGUGAAGUCGGGGAGACAGGGUGGGGCGGGUCCAGAUCCAGAGGGCCCGGCCCGGUGAUGGGCUGAUGGAGCGGCAACAGGGCCCCAGGCCAGGCAGGGCCCUGCAGGAAAGGUCCAGGCCGUUUGAACUGGGGGGCAGGAGAGAGCUGCGGGAGUCCCCAGCCCAUGGGCCACUUCCCCUUGGCCUCUGCAGCCAGGAGGAGCCAGCUCACCUUCACCGAGUCCUGCUCCUCGUCUGACUGCUCGUACAGCUCGUCGCCCAGGAAGUUCCAGGGUGACUUGGUGCUCUGGGCCGCGUAGAGCUGCCAGCGCCAGAGCGACAGCGGGCAGAAGGAAACGCGCAGCGGCAGGCUGGCCAGGCUCUCGUUGAUGGGGUAGUAGUCCUUCUGCAGGUUCCAGUAGUCGUUGAAGUAGAUGAUGGGGUAGUAGUCCCCGCUGACCGCGUCGAACUUCACGUCUGGGGGCACACAGGGCGGGGCACUGCUCAGCCAGCUGGGGAUAGGGACCCAGGAUGGCCCCUCUGACAAACACUGGAGGCCAGGGGGCAUUUCUGGGCUGUGUGAGAGCCCCUGACCUCAGCAGAGGGGCCUGGGUGGAAGGUCGCAGCCAGGUGCCCCGGGGUGACCCCGUGUCCGAGGCUUUGUGGAAUCAGUCAGAACUGCCUCAGCUGCCAAAGCCGGCAGCGGGUGCAUUUUUUGAAAAUGCUUGUGAUGGAUGAAACCUGCUGCAGACGGAUUGGCACCCGGCAGCUGGUCACCAGUGGUAGCCGGUCCUGGGUCACCAGGGGCGUGGGAGUGAGAGGAGAGCAGAGGCAAGACAGGGCUGGGAGUCCAGGGAGGGCAAGGACUUAGGAAGGUCUCUCGGGGUGAGACAGGAAAUGGACUCGAGCACCCUCCCAGGCCUCUGCAGGCUGCCGCUGGGCUGGGCUUACACUGGUCUAGUGGGGGCGGCACGCUGCCCUUCACCCACGGCGUGUGGUCGUCCACGAUGUUGAUGGUGAUGUUAGGGUGCCAGUGGGAAAUCACCUCCACGGGCCCAUAGUCCUCGGCCCUCUGCGGGGAGAUGGGGACCGCAGUGGGCUCGGGGUAGCGCAGGGGCUGGUGGCAGCCGCUCCACACACCUCCUCCUGAACACCCGACUGUCAUGAAGGCUGGACCUCCACAACCACAGCCACGGGCAGAGGACUCGCCCUGGCCCACCCAAGGCCAGUCUUCAGACCCCCGAGAUCCUCUUACCCGGGGGACAGAAAAGUGAAGCCCACAGAGGUAGGGGGCAAGGCCCUGCCUUGAGAUGGUGGCUCCACAGGUCCCUGAGUGGCAUCCCUCCUCCUCCUAGGACUACCCAGGAAGCAAGACUCCCAUCCUGUGGGUCCCCCUGCUGCCCAGCCCACCAGGACCUGCAGCCCACAGCUCCCCCUGGCCGCAUCCCCGGGCCUCUCCUCUGCGCCAGCAGCCUGGGUAUGAGUCCUGCCCCACCGCUGCUUGGCUGAGACUUAAGCACGUGUCCCCAUGUGAAAUGGAACUGGUGCAGGACCCCCUCACAGAGCCAGCGAGAGGCUUACCGGUAGACCUCCCCACUCCACCUGAUUCCCGACCCCUUUCCAGGUAAGGAAAGGGAGGCUGAGGGAGGUGUGGUGGACUAGCGCAUCCCAGCUCAGGGGAGCCGUGGGCCAUGGGGCUGCCAGCUGGGGGUGACCGACCCAUCUGGUCCCUACGACGCCCACAGCCCCAUUCACAGUUACCUUGAUCAUUUCUGGGUCGGCUUCCGUCUCUCCCGUCAGCAGGUUUUUGGUUUUCUGAAAUCGCCUGCGCUUGUAUUUGUUGAUCACUGCGGGUGAUGGGGGAGGGGAAAGAUGGGGAGGUGAGGCCUCGGGCACGGGCACCUGCAUGUCCAGAGGCCAGGCCUCUGCUCACCCAGCGGAGGACGCCACUGCCUGCACCACACAUCCGAUGGUCCUCUGGCCUCUCCACCCACCCGGCCAGCCCAGGGGCCCCUCCUGGAUGACAGGGCUUGCCUUCUCAGUGGCCCCUCACGAGGCCACGCCCCCUGACCUCUGUUGGGGGAGUGCUGGGUGGGCAGCACCCUGAGCUGACCUCUAUCACCCCGCCUGGGCCUCUGGAUGGCUGCUCCGUCUCCCUGUGACUGUCCCCUGCAGUCUUCAUGGAUGGCCCCUUCUCAGCCUGCAAGUCCCAGGUUAACUGUCCCAUCCUCUCAGCGACUCCCCUGAGCACACUUCCCCUCCUAGCUGUUUCCAUCACAGCCCUCGGCGACGCAAGCCCACUGCCCCUGUGUCCCACCCAAGCCCAUGCAGCAGUCAGGGCUGAUUUCAAACACUGACGCGCACACCGCAGGCUGGGAUGGCCGCGCACAGGGUCAUGACGAGGCAGGCUGCAGACGGAGCCCAGAGAAGGCCUGGAGAGGCAUCCUGGGGCCGCGACGCCCCAGCCAGGGCCGCCCCCACUCCUCUCAUGAAGGCCCCAGGCUCUGUGAGCCCUGCCCUGGGCACUGCCAGGACUUGCUGGGAAGGGGGGCGCUCACUCGUGCCCGUCGCCCCACUCCUGGCCACGGGGCAUCUUCUUAUUCCCUUUCAUUGGGAAGAAGAGCUGCCUGUGACCUUCUCCUGCUGUGAGCUUCUCCGUCCUGCCCGCAGCCAGGGAGGGAGGGGAGCUGGUCAAAGGAGCUGGCCACGAGGGCUCCGGAGACAACCCUGGAUCUGACUCCUGCAAGCUAAGGGAUGCCGAGUCGAGUCCCUCCCUGGACUCUGGAAAGGAGGACCAGGCCUGCUGUCGCUAACACGAACGCCACCGUCUCUCUCCUAACCAGCUCAUCUGAAGCUGGGCCUGGGGUGUGCCCCUGCAGGUCCAGUGUUUGGAGGGCCGAGGCAGGAGAGUCACUUGAGCCCAGGAGAUCAGGACCAGGAGAGCAGUGAGCACUGAGGGUGGGCAUCCUAGAGAAGGAACUCUAGAAGGACAUGUCCUGCGCCAUCUUCACCUGGGAGAGGCGGCCAGGGAGGGAGGGGGCGGUGCUGGGCGGGAGCAUGGAGAGGGCCUGGCUCAGGGGACCGGGCUUCUAACAGGAGAUGGGCCCGGCUGCCACGGGGAGCAAAGAGCCUCCUGUUCUCCAGAUUUUGCUUCUAGAGCUGCAUCACCCAGCAUGGGGUCCCUGGCCCAUGUGACCUCUGAGCACUGAAAGUGUGGCUGGUCAGCGGGAGGCGGGCUAUGAGCGUGGUGUGCUCUUGGCCUCACCUUCGUUCCCACACUGAUUCCACGUGGAAAUGACAGGUGCCGACUGAGCUCAACCUCGCGCCGUUAACAUAAAUCCGCUGGUUCCAUUUGCCCCUUUACUGCUGGCUCUUUUCCAGGAGGAACUGCAAGCCUCUGGCUCACACUGCACCUCCCCACACAGGGCUACUCUGGACCCGGAUGCUGGCCUUUGGGGAACGAAAGGGGCUUUUUUGAUCACAUCCUCAUUCUUCACCCUGUGGCAAAGAAUGACCAUCCUUCAGGAUCUUUUUUUAACAAAGGGAACAGGGAAGGCCUGACGCAUAUGAAAACCAUGACAUCUGUCACAGUGCUACCCCAAACAGCCAGGUGGGUCUGACCAAGCCCACAGGACGCUGGGAAUAGUACUCAAUAAAAUAAAAGCUCCAUGGAGUAAAUAAAACCCAAGGUAGGGGAACGGGGGAUGGGGUUUCAGAAGAGCCAUUCUCCAGAGCUGCUGGAACCCAGGGACAGUGAGGUUUCUCUGGGUGCCGACAGGAGACCAUGGACUCAAGGAAGUAGCCCAAAAAGCUAGGUAAAGACAAUUAUUAGCUUCCUGGAAAAUGUGAAGUUAGGCAGAAAGGAAUUUAAAAAAAGGUGUAUUCACCGUAUGGUUCAGACAUACGGUGAGUCUGAGUCAAAAACGUUUAAGAAACGUCACAUAGUCAAAAACGUUUAAGAAAAGUGCUAGGGCCGCAGCCCAGGGGUACAGCACCCCUGGGUUCAAUCCUCAGGACCAACAACAAAAAAAGAAACUCCAGUGUUAACUUAUCAGUGGGAGCCCUGGUGGAGAAGGAGCAGGAUAAAGAGCUCAGCUGAUCUCUACUGAGGCUGGCUGUGGUGGCCAGGAGGAGGAGAAGAGGCGGACGGGAGCCUGGGCUUGGCGCACCUGACACAGUAUUUGAAUUUUAAACCAUAUAUGUGCAAUAGGAGAUCUAAAAAAUAGUCAACCAGAUGCAGUGAGUGGAGAGAAAUAAAACUGGUUUCAAUA